GUUAUGCUUCUCAGAUUAAGUAUGUUGCAUCAGAUUUCUAGCGAGCAUCAGCACUAUGCAGAAACAGGCAGGAAUGCAAGUUAUCAAUAUUGUUGUCUGUCUUGGAACAGAUUUUCCACAAAAGAAAACUCAGUUGUGUCAAGCUGGCCCCGGAAGAUGCAGGGUAUUGACAGAAGCAAGUGGUCAUGGUGAAAUGUUGGUGAAUAAUAAAGCAGGGAGAGACAGGAAGAAAUGGAAGACUGAGAGGAUGCAAAAUAAAACAGGUCUAUACAUUUUAACAGAUGCAAACUGUGAACUUGAAGACACUCCUGUAAAUGUCUGUUACCCUAAAAAAACUACCGGUAGUGCUUAGUUUUUUUUUGUUUGUUUGUUUGUUUUGUUUUUUUAUUUAGUUCUGUUUCAAGUUUCAUAAAAGAUUUCUGUUCCUAUCAGAGAUUAAAUAGUUGUUUGGUCAGUGUUUUGGUGUGAGUUCUUCACUCCUGAAAUAAAUCAGGGAUAGGAAAAUUUUAACCUAUAGCA
rnacentral:lncRNA from 1 species